UGCAUAUUUCUAACCUUACUGUGAACUGUUUUACUGUUUAGCGUUUUGAGGGAUUGCCUAAAGAUUAUAGGGAUAGGUCUUUAGGAUGUUAACCUAGCUAAAGUCAGGCUUAGGCCUGGUAUCCUAAUUCAUUAUUUACCAAAAGAAUUCAGAAUUAAUAUUGUAACAUAAGCGUAAAAAACUUAUAAAACAACUUUUAACAACGGAUCUCUUGGUUCUCGCAUCGAUGAAGAACGUAGCAAAGUGCGAUAACUAGUGUGAAUUGCAUAUUCAGUGAAUCAUCGAGUCUUUGAACGCAUCUUGCGCUCAAUGGUAUUCCAUUGAGCACGCCUGUUUCAGUAUCAACAACAACCCACAUCCACAAUUUUGUUGUGAAUGGAAGUGAGAGUAUCGAUGUAAAAAUUGAACUCUUUAAAACUAUUAGGCCUGAACUAUUGUUCUAUUAGCCUGAACAUUUUUUUAAUAUAAAGGAAUGCUCUAGUUAAAAGACUAUCUUGGGGGCCUCCCAAAUAAAUCAUUUUUUUAAACUUGAUCUGAAAUCAGGUGGGAUUACCCGCUGAACUUAAGCAUAUCAAUAAGCG
rnacentral:rRNA from 1 species